rnacentral:rRNA from 1 species
GUAGGGAGCAAGCGUUGUUCGGAAUUAUUGGGCGUAAAGAGCGCGUAGGCGGUUCGGUAAGUCUGACGUGAAAUCCCAGAGCUUAACUCUGGAACUGCGUUGGAUACUGCCGAGCUUGAGUGUGGGAGAGGAGAGUGGAAUUCCCAGUGUAGAGGUGAAAUUCGUAGAUAUUGGGAGGAACACCCGUGGCGAAGGCGGCUCUCUGGACCACAACUGACGCUGAGGCGCGAAAGCUAGGGUAGCAAACGGGAUUAGAUACCCCGGUAGUCCUAGCCGUAAACGAUGGGCACUAGGUGUUGGAGGUAUCGACCCCUCCAGUGCCGCAGCUAACGCAUUAAGUGCCCCGCCUGGGGAGUACGGUCGCAAGACUA